UAAUCUGCGAUAAGCGCCGGUAAGGUGAUAUGAACCGUUAUAACCGGCGAUACCCGAAUGGGGAAACCCAGUGUGAUUCGUCACACUAUCAUUAACUGAAUCCAUAGGUUAAUGAGGCGAACCGGGGGAACUGAAACAUCUAAGUACCCCGAGGAAAAGAAAUCAACCGAGAUUCCCCCAGUAGCGGCGAGCGAACGGGGAGGAGCCCAGAGCCUGAAUCAGCAUGUGUGUUAGUGGAAGCGUCUGGAAAGGCGCGCGAUACAGGGUGACAGCCCCGUACACAAAAGCGCAUGUGCUGUGAGCUCGAUGAGUAGGGCGGGACACGUGGUAUCCUGUCUGAAUAUGGGGGGACCAUCCUCCAAGGCUAAAUACUCCUGACUGACCGAUAGUGAACCAGUACCGUGAGGGAAAGGCGAAAAGAACCCCGGCGAGGGGAGUGAAAAAGAACCUGAAACCG
rnacentral:rRNA from 1 species